rnacentral:rRNA from 1 species
UGGAAAUUUAACAUAUGGUGAAUCAUGAUAACUUUACGAAUCGCAUGGUCUUUUGUGCCGGCGAUAGUUCAUUCAAAUAUCUGCCCUAUCAACUUUCGAUGGUAGUAUAGAGGACUACCAUGGUGUUAACGGGUAACGGAGAAUCAGGGUUUGAUUCCGGAGAAGGAGCCUGAGAAACGGCUACUACUUCCAAGGAAGGCAGCAGGCGCGCAAAUUACCCAAUCCCGACACGGGGAGGUAGUGACAAAAAAUAACAAUACCGGUCUUAUUUAAGUCUGGUAAUUGGAAUGAGUACAAUCUAAAUCCUUUAACGAGUAUCAAUUGGAGGGCAAGUCUGGUGCCAGCAGCCGCGGUAAUUCCAGCUCCAAUAGCAUAUAUUAAAGUUGUUGCAGUUAAAAAGCUCGUAGUUGGAUUUUGAAGUUUACAUAUUAUGACCCACUUUGUAUUAGGUGUGUUUUGUUGUGAUAUGUACUUCUCCUUACUA